GAUGAACGCUGGCGGCGUGCCUAAUACAUGCAAGUCGAGCGAACGGACGAGAAGCUUGCUUUUCUGAUGUUAGCGGCGGACGGGUGAGUAACACGUGGAUAACCUACCUAUAAGACUGGGAUAACUUCGGGAAACCGGAGCUAAUACCGGAUAAUAUUUUGAACCGCAUGGUUCAAAAGUGAAAGACGGUGUUGCUGUCACUUAUCGAUGGAUCCGCGCUGCAUUAGCUAGUUGGUAAGGUAACGGCUUACCAAGGCAACGAUGCAUAGCCGACCUGAGGGGGUGAUCGGCCACACUGGAACUGAGACACGGUCCAGACUCCUACGGGAGGCAGCAGUAGGGAAUCUUCCGCAAUGGGCGAAAGCCUGACGGAGCAACGCCGCGUGAGUGAUGAAGGUCUUCGGAUCGUAAAACUCUGUUAUUAGGGAAGAACAUAUGUGUAAGUAACUGUGCACAUCUUGACGGUACCUAAUCAGAAAGCCACGGCUAACUACGUG
rnacentral:rRNA from 1 species